rnacentral:lncRNA from 1 species
GCUGGCGGCAUCCCACGCACCGCCCAGUCGGAGGAGACCCGUGUCUGGCACCGCCGGGAUGGCAAAUGGCAGAUCGUCCACUUCCACAGAUCUGGGGCGCCCUCCGUCCUGCCCCACUGAGGGACCAGGCUGGGGUCGCUGCGUUGCUGUGCCGCAGAGAUCCACUCUGUCCGUGGAGUGGAGCUGCUGGUUCUCCCAGGUGGAUUUUGCUGGAAUUCUCCCAUGUCAUCACCCCACCACCGUCACUUCUGUACCUGCAUCAAGAAAACCUGCUUGUUCACAAAAGUCAUCGCAACUUCAGAGCGAACGGCCACAUCUCCCCACCUCUCACCCCCACCCUCUCCCCUGCCAGGCUGGGGCUUCCUCAGGCAUGGGUGUCCACAGCACUGGCCCCCUCUCCCCAGCCUCAGCUGCUGUCCGCCUGAUCUGUCUUGGGCUGUAGGCUAGAAUGCCCGGGCUGGUGCCCACCAGGGGCUGGGGAGAAGGAGGGGUGGCAUGAUGAGGAAGGCAGCAUCCGUCCGUCCCUCUCCCAGACCUCUCCUCUUCCAGUGUCCCCGGGGAAGGGCAGAUGACACUCCCUUCCCCCUAAGCCAACCGCACUGAAGGAGUGGGGAGAAGAGCAUACGCCAGGAGCCUCCUG